UUUAAUUCUUGGGUUUCCGUGUCUAACGUUUGACCGUCCGUCUUAUUUUUAAAAAAAUAUGAAAAAAAUUAAAAAAGAUAAAUCACACAUAAAGUAUUAUUCAUGUUUUAUCAUCUAACAACAAUAAAAAUACUAAUCAUAAAAAAAACUUCAUAUAAGACGAACAGUUAAACGUUGGACACGGAAACCCAGGAAUUGAGUCUUU
rnacentral:pre_miRNA from 1 species